CUGACCGGGAGUUGAACCGUGACCUCCUGGUUCAUAGGUAGACACUCAACCACUGAGCCAUGCCAGCGGGGUGAGUUAUGCUUUUUUAAGAGACCAUAUGCAAGUGAGAUCAUACAGUAUUUGUCUUUUUCUGCUUGACUUAUUUCACUUAGCAUAAUGCCCUCAAGAUCUAACCAUGGUGUUUGAAAUGGCAGGAUUUCCUUUCUUAAAGCUAAAUAAUAUUCUCUGCAAGCUUUUGUGACUGCGCUCCCCCCAUAAGAAGAAAUACAUUCCAAUUCUCAACCCAAAAUGUAUACACACAUGUGCCCAGAUACACACACCUCUGAAAAAGAAGCUUCCUGAAAUAUUACCCUUAUUUUAUGCAAUGCAUGCUAACGUUUUUUUCUACUUCAUCUUUAUUUUAAGAGAGCCUUUUUAGGUGUUUUUACUGCUUUAUUGAGGUAUGCUUGACAUACAAUAAACCAUAUAUUCUUAAAAUGUACAUUUUUGUUUCGACUUCUAUACACCCAUUGCAGGCUAAUAGUUUCAACUUUAUUAUUUUUACUUCUUUUUAAAUACUGGUCAGGACCUACUACAUUGAUUUUAUGACCCACUAAAGAACUAGUAGAUGAUUCCCUUCAAUGUUUGCUAGGUCUCAUUUAGCCACACAGACUGUGAUCUUAAGUUUGCCAUGUUUACCUGUUCCAGAAAUCAGGACAAGUAAGAUUCUCAGGAUGUGGUGGGGGAGGGGAGAGAAGGAUUGGCAGGAGCAAUGUUUGGGUUCCUCUUCCCUUCUCAGUAAAUACUUCCUGAUAUCAGUAUUCCAGUAUUCCUCAGGAGCCAUAGUGUGUGUGUGUGUGUGUGUGUGUGUGUGUGUUUUCUUUGUCUAGCUUGAGAUACAGAUUGGACUUCGUACAAGGCUAGACUACCGCCUGCAAACCAGAGACAACUCUUUUGUUUGAAUGAACAGAAUCGCGGACUAAAAUCAAAGGGAAAAUAAUGCGUUUGGAUUGUGACAGUACAUAGAGACCAUCUUAUCCACAGGGACACAAAAGCUCUUGGUACAUUGUGUUCCUGCCUUUGGGCCACCUCUGAAAUUGGCUGAAUCUGUGGUGUCCGAUUUCACGGGAGCUCCCAGUCACUGACAAUUUCCACUGCAGACAGAGAAGCUGGCACGAUUUCGGAGGAGGAAUAAAUACUUCUGUAGGCACCGAGUGAAGGAAGAAAGAAUUGGAAGAGACAUUUGUGCUUAAGAUCUGCAUUUACUUAGCCCUAGCCGGUUUGGCUCA